rnacentral:rRNA from 1 species
GGAAUUUUGCGCAAUGGGCGAAAGCCUGACGCAGCAACGCCGCGUGAGUGAUGAAGGCCUUAGGGUUGUAAAGCUCUUUUACCAGGGAUGAUAAUGACAGUACCUGGAGAAUAAGCUCCGGCUAACUCCGUGCCAGCAGCCGCGGUAAUACGGAGGGAGCUAGCGUUGUUCGGAAUUACUGGGCGUAAAGCGCACGUAGGCGGCUUUUCAAGUCAGGGGUGAAAUCCCGGGGCUCAACCCUGGAACUGCCCUUGAAACUGGAUGGCUAGAAUCCUGGAGAGGCGAGUGGAAUUCCGAGUGUAGAGGUGAAAUUCGUAGAUAUUCGGAAGAACACCAGUGGCGAAGGCGACUCGCUGGACAGGUAUUGACGCUGAGGUGCGAAAGCGUGGGGAGCAAAC